rnacentral:ncRNA from 1 species
ACAAUGGCAAUGAUGAGAAGAGUAAUUAUUGACGCAAUCCACAGAGAGCUGCCGAAAGGGUGAAAGGCGGUAUUGGGUUAUUAAUGAAUAUGGUCUCUGAGCCGCAGCAUUCAAGUAAUGUUGGGGGAUCCGCCCAUUACAGCGGUACAGUAAACACUUGAUACUGUAUGAGGCUGGAACAGUGAUGUUUCAGUGAAUAUAAGGUGGUACCACGAUUAGCUUUCGUCCUUCUA